UUCAAAACCCAAUGUAUACCUAACUUAACCUCACUGAACUCAGUUUAGUCAUGGCUACUCGUCUCAGUAGUAUGCGCAAUGUUUGGGGUAGGCUAAUGCACCCACACCUAGUUGAACCUGUGUUCUAAUUCAGCCCUUUCUUAACCACUCUUGAACCCAAGCUUAAUUUCAAUGAAUUAACCUAUUAUGAUGGGGAUGAUUACUUCCUUAACAUGGAACCAAUACCGUUUAGUGUCGUACGCGACCAACUUAUCCAUUCCCUUGAAUAUGAGACCACUACUUUUCAUCCCCGACACCCUUAUGGAGGUGGCAGAUUUGGAUGUAAGGGCUGCUUAUAUUCCAGAUCUGUCCGACCUUGAAGGCUAUCUCCACAAGGGUGUCCUGGUAUUCGCAAGGUGUUUAUGUCAAAAAUCCAUGGGUGUGGAUGAUGCUCCCUUCAUACCUAUGGAUUUGAUCCCAAUUUUUUUUAUCGUAAGCCAAUUGUCAUGACCGAGCACCUUCCAAUCUACACCUUCCUCUUAAAGAAAGCCACAUCUUCAUAUGUGCCAAAAUCGCUGCUAUUCAUGUGUUGGAAGUCAAUGCUAAGGUGAAAUUGGUGAAUUUAAAUGUAUUCACUUGCAAAACAACCCUAAGAAAGAUUAGGUACCAUCGUAUCUCUGUGUGUGGCUCUGAUGGCCACAUCCCCCAAGCUCCCAAUUUCCCAAAGGGUUCUACUUUUGUCCUUUGAAUGCAAGGAACGUCAACCAUCCUUCUUUCAAGAAGACGUUUAACAAGUUGUUCAAUUCAUUCUCCCUGGAAAUCGUUUUGAUCACGGAGUCCAGAGCUGACGCUGCUUUGUUCGGGUACGUUCGCGACGUGCUACAACGUCUAUACAGGGUUGAUGGUUUCGAAAACUUUAAUGGCUACUACAGUGUCCUGCUAAUCUGGCAGAAGUCUGAUGUGUAUCCUUGGGUGAAUUACAGGGGUGCUAUUGAGCCAGGGGAAAAAUUCAAUUCAACCCCUCAACGAGUCCACCCGGCUUCAAAUUGGUACGAAGACAGAGAGGAGGAUGAAGAUGGAGUUGUUCAUUCGGACAACGAUCACUUAUCCGUGUAAUCCGUGUAGGAGGAACGAAGGUGCAGCUGGCCCUUGGUGGAUGAACUCUAUGAUGUUUGUUUAGUAAACUGUUAUGUCUUAAUCCUUUUAGGUAGUUAUGGAAUUAUCUUCUAGUGGUGUUCUUAGACUUGUUUAAAUUUAUAAACCCAUCAGACUAUGGUUGUUAUUAAGGUUAUGAAUAUGUUGUGGAUUGUUUAAAA